ensembl:lncRNA
GUCACCGCAAAAUUGAGGAAAGGAAUAUGUUUGACAUUUUUUCGGAAGAAAACUACGAAAAACUAUUUAUAGUAUGUUUUAAACCAGUUGUUGCUGUUGAUAUAUAAUUUAUUCAGACACCGUGUCACCUGUCAGGAGUUGCAGCUAAAGUAAAAACCACAAAAGAAGCGGAAGUGGGAAGUGGAAGUGGAAAAGUAACAGGAUGCAUUCACUUGUUUAUUGUUCAAGGAUACAUCCAAAGAGGCAUCUUUUUGACUUGGAUUCAACGCAGGAUCCGAUGCAGUUUGACAGAACAACCUUUUGAAGCGCCACAAUGCAGCUUGUCAUGUUUUAUGACUGCAAAAAAUGCAGUUGUGCAGAUCUACAAAAUGACUUAAAGAUGUGAAAUCUCAUUUUGUUACUGUCAAGUGAAGUGCAGCAGGUUUAUGGGAGGUGAAGGAGUGUAGCUGAGGCA